rnacentral:rRNA from 1 species
UACGGAGGGUGCAAGCGUUGCUCGGAAUUAUUGGGCGUAAAGGGUAGGUAGGUGGUCUCUUUUGUCUGUGGUGAAAGCCUUGAGCUUAACUCAAGAAGUGCCCCAGAAACGGUGAGACUGGAGUCCUGGAGAGGGUCGUGGAAUUCCCGGUGUAGCGGUGAAAUGCGUAGAGAUCGGGAGGAACACCAGAGGCGAAGGCAGUGUCCUGGGGAGUACCUGACGCUCAGGUGCGAAAGCCAGGGGAGCGAACGGG